rnacentral:lncRNA from 1 species
AAUUCCCGAUACUCCAUUCUGCCCAGCGUCAGGAGCCCCGAGUUGAUAUCCGACCCGAGAUCCGGCUGCGCCAGCACCCGAUCCGCGAUCAUCUCCACCGUCACGUUCAUCCUCGCCGUGCGCCGCGCCCGCGCCCUCCCCGCGGGGCCGCGCGCCUUGCCGACCGCCGCGCCGCGGUAGAACAGCGCCGACGUCGUCUCCGGGUACCGGAAUGACGCGAAGUUGGGGUUCUUCACCGACACGUCGGCGGUCAGCGACAUGUUGCUGCCUGGCCGUGGCGUGGCGAUGCCGUUGAUCAGAUCCGCGCCGCAGCAGCUGCAGCAGCGGAGGAGUUGCCGCUGCUGUUUGACGGUGAAUUUGAUAUCUCGGAGAGUUCGAUGAAGAGCUGCCUGAGCGGUUUGGCUGACCUCUGCCGGUGGUGGUCGGCUGAAAGCCGUCUUCCGGCCGUGGCGUAUGGCAGUGGACGGUGGCAAUCCCGGUCCCGAUGGCUCCCGAUGAUGAAGGGUCCGGGUUGGUUGUCGGCUGUAGCCGGGCGGCCUCCCAUCUCACUCUUGAGAAUGCCGACUCGGCUGAGGGAACUUCCUUGAGAAUGUCCCGACGAAGUCUGUCAUAUCUCCUAUCAAAUCCGGAGAGGAACUGAAAUAAUCGGUGAUUUCCGAUCAGUUUUCUGUGCUUAUUGAUCCCUUCUUCACACCAGUCGAGUGGAUUUGGGUAAGUUCGAUCCAUUCUGUGGAUUUGUUGAAUUGAUUCAUUUGAAUCUGUUUGGUUUAUGGCUUCAAUCUCUCCUGGCAUUUUUUUUCAGGAAAUGAAGAACAGAGGUUUUGGUUUGGUGUAUUGGUUAGGAAUGGUUUGGUGUAUUGGCUAGGAAUGGUUUUGGUUUUGGAUUAUGAACGAUGAUGAUUCGUUUCUGAGUUCCUAUGGUUGAACCUGCUGAACCUGCUCUGAUACCAUGUUAAAACAUGCUAUUAUCAUAAUGCAUAGAGAAAGAUAAAGAGAAGCAAAUGAUUGUUAUUGUAUUUCUCUUGAUGUUGUAUUGCUCCUUAUUUCUGAAGAAUUCUAUCAUCUUUUAUAAUGUAUUACAUGAUAUUAAAGUCUUACCAGGAUCCCUAUGAUUAAGGGAUCCGUGGUAAAUCUUUGACAGAUAAAUAAAGGCACGCUGCUUCUCUUUCUGACUUUUGCUGCUUGCUAAUCUUGACUUCUGUAGAUUUACUUUCAACAGCUGGUGCACAUUUCAGUCCUCAUCAAUAUAGAUUAAGAAAAUGUAUUUAAUGUUAUUUAUUGUAUGUAAUUAUUAUUUUAUCCUUAUUUAUUAUUUCACAUUAUUUCACAAACGUUAAAUAAAGUUAUUUUGAUAAUUUUAUUUAAAGCAAUUUGAAUUAAGAAAGUGGACCACAUCUUAUCUAUGCUAAUAGAAAAAGAGUCUAAGGCAUCUUAAGACACAAUUUAUGAAUUGCCUAUUUUAUCCGUAUUAUAUAUUUUAUUUUAAAAUUAUUUUACAUAUUAUAUAUUUAUAAGAAUAUAUUAAUUCAUUAAAUAUUACACUAAAUCUAUGUGAUAUAUUUCUAUAGCUAUUGAUAAGGAUCAUAAACACAUAGGUAAUGAUCAAAGUACAAAUACAAAAAAACAUGUCAUUAGUAACAUUUUUUUACAUACAAUUGCAGGUUUAGAAUAACCUUAUUAAAUGUCAUACAAGGAGAUUGUAUGCAAAUAUUACAAUGUUCAAUGUGGUUGCAGCCAUUGACGUAGCUAGAGGGGGGGCAGUGGGGGCACUGGGCCCCCCUGGAAAUUUCAAAAAACACUAGUGGUAUUUUAGUGAUUUUAUAUUUAAUAUUAAAUAAAUACAUAAAUAUUCUUAUUUUAGUAAUAAUCCCAAAUUUUCUCUACGUAUAGGAGAUAAGCUAUUGAACGAUUGUAAAACUAGUGUUUUAAGGGUGCGUUUACUUUGGUUGAAAAAAAAAUUAUUGGAAAAUGAUAGAUAAGAAAAUGUGAGAAAAUAUUUUUCUCCUUUUUUUAAAAAUCAUAUGUUUUGCUAGAGAUGAAAAGAUGAUAAAAUGUUGAAAAAUAUUUUCACACCCAUACCUUAGGAUAAUAUUAUCCAAUAUUGGAGAGAAAAUGAGUGAAACGGGGAUGCCCGAUAAAAUAUUUCACACUGGCCAGAGAAAAUUUUCCAUCAUAGUAAACAUAUGAAAAUGGUGGAAAAUGGAUGAAAAUAUAUUUUUUCUCUGUUUUUCCAUCAAAAUAAGUGUAUUUGAUAAUAAAAUGAAUAAGUGAUUAGAUAUUUUUUGCUUAUAGUUAUUCCAUAUUAGAAAAUUGAAAUACAUUUAGUUGGGAUGGUCCAAAAAUGAAUAUUGAUUUAGUUGGGACGAAGAGAGUAUUUGGCCCCCCCUAAUUAAAAAGUCUGGCUACGUCACUGGUUGCAGCAGUAUAUGUAUAUAGGAUGCUCGGUGGAUGAGUUUAUUUCAUCAUUCAAUCACGUAAGUUUUAUUUUUUCAUCAAUAGUCGUUUGUCAAAAUAAAAGUUUCAAUUUUUAAUGAAAUUUACUAAUCAUGAUAUAUAAUUUAAACAUUUUCCCAAGAUGAAAAUGAUUCUGCAAAAAUAAGAGAAAAAAGUUUUCUCCACCCAUUAAAGUCAAAUUAGAGAAGAUUUGAUGUGAAUAUAAACAUUUAAUAGUUUAGGAUAAUCAGUGUUGACGUAGUUGCUUUUUCAUUUUUAAUCUUUUAUUUACCAGCAAAGUUUGACUUUUUUUAAAAAUUCAAUAGGUAUUGCACACUUUAUUUACAAUAAUUGGCUCAAUGAUAUUUUGAAUAUUGCAUUAAAUGUGAUGGUUACAAAUUUUCUAUGAAGGUAACUUUUACCAUAAAAUUAUAAAAUCAAGCAUAACACGUGCAACGCACGUCUUCUCUGCUAGUUACAGUAGCAACGUAUUUAAUUUAUUUUAUUACUAAUUAAUUUAUGGUAGGAGAAGGUGAAAUUUUAAUAAUAUAAUCUAUUAAAAUUUUAAUAAAUAAUAUAAUUAAUUUUUUUUAUUACGUAUCCAUCUAAGAUGUGGUAUAUGUACAUAAUCUCAAAGAUUUGAAUAAUACAUAAUGGGUUAUUACAUAAUAAACAACCUUUUAUUUUGAAGCAAACAUAAUAAUAGUGUUGGGUAAUUAGACGCAACUAAUUUCGCCUUGGAUCUAGUGUGACGCAAUAUUUUAGAUAUCGAUCGACCGAUAUGAAACGAUAAAAAAAAUGACACCGAUAUUUUUAACGUGGCUCGGCCAAACUGCCUAUGUCCACGGACCCACACCAAUAUAUAGAGAAUCUCAAAAGGAGAAGUACAACAAAAAUACCACACUGUAUUUUGUAUCUACUUACGCAGAGGCUAUCUCUUUAUAACUCGUGUAUAACUUCAACACUGAAGUUUUCUCUCACAAGGAUUUUCUCUCUCUCUAGCACAAAGAAAUGCUUCUGCUUUGGUGAUGUGUUGGUGUGCUGCAAUGCUGCUGCGAGGAUCACUUUAUAGCCAAAACUUAGCCGCACUAAUUGAAAACAAUGGCAACAACUUUUGACAUGGAGGUUAUAGCCAUAAAUGCUUGGCAAGAGCUAUAGUAACCUAUGCAGUAGCUAUUUUGACGAGUUGAAAAUUUUUGUAGGCCACUAACUUAGGACGUUUUGUAAAAUUAGGCCACAUUUUUUUCGGACUUGUAAAUUUGGAUCAUUUAUUAUUAAUUUCGGCGUAAAUGAGCCACAUUUGGGCCCGGUCGGGCUAUAAUGUGGCUCACUUACGCCGAAAUUAAUAAUAAAUGACCCAAAUUUGAAAGCCCAAAAAAAUAUGGCCUAAUUUUGCAAAGUGCCAUAACUUAGUGACCUACAAAAAAUUUUGAACUCAAUUAAAUUGGUGGCUAACAUUUGAUUUUCACUAUCCAUUUCCCAUAUUUCGCACCAUUAACACAUUUGAAAAUGUAUAUAAUGAGAAUAAGUUUAAAUAAAAGAAAUUUGAGACAAAUUCAAAUAGUGAGAUUUUAGAUUGUCAUGUAGAAGAUAAAAUUAAUAUUUUCCUAUUAUAUAGUACAAGAUGUCUUUUUAUAAACAUAUAAAUAAUUAUUGUUAUCUUGAGGAAUAUAUAUAUUUUUUAACACGGUGCAUUAUGAUAUCUUGAGGAACAUAUAUAUUCUUACAAUUUAAUUUUGACCCUCCAAGUGUCGUCGAGCAAAGGUAAUUAUUUGUAUAUUUUAAUGAAUUUUUAAAAUAUUUUUUAAUUCAUUUUUUAUUUGUGUUUUUUUAAGUAUGAUUAUUUUAUGAUUUAUUUUUACAUGCGUAUAAAUAUACCAAAUAAAAGAAUGAAAUAAAAUUUCACAUCAGCGUUCGAGCUCCAACUGUGAAGUCACACACGUUCAAUCGGGCCCAAAUGUGGCUCAUUUACUCUGAAAUUAAUAACAAAUGGCUCAAAUUUACAAAUCCGAAAAAAUAUGGCCUAAUUUUGCAAAGCACACUAAAUUAGUGGCCUACAAAAAUUUUGAAAUCCUAUUUUGACUAACAAAUAGGAUGUCAUAUAUACUUAUAUUAUAUGCACCCUAAUUAUCCAACCAGAUCCCCUACUUAUUAAAUACUAAAAUUAAAGACAGAUAUAUCGAUCAAUUAUUAAUUGAACAUGAUCUUUAACAUUAUUAUUCCACUACCGAGAAUUAAGUAGACGCAACUGCCCAGUUAGCUACAGAAGAUAAUUACUAGUUUAAUUAUAUGAGUCAAUUUCCUCAAAAAAAAAUUAUAUGAGUCAAUUUGAUUAUUCAACGCAAAUUAAUUAAACAGAGACACAACCAAAUAAACCUUUAAAAAAACAUUGACUUGGCUCAACAAGAAUAAGAAUCAAUUUUGAUUUUCAACGUGUCUCAUUAUCAAAGUAUAAAAAUUAGAUUAAAAACAUAAUACUGCGUGAAAAUUGACGUAAUGCACGAUAAAAAAUAUUAGGAAUUGAAAUUCUCUAGAUGAAACCUAUCAGGAGAAGACUUCAUUAAAUAAAAUCCACAAUACUUAAUUGCUAAUUAAGCAAACCUGUGUGUAUAUAGUGUGUGUUGUGUGUGAAAAAAAGGCAUCAAAAGAGAUGGGAGAAACGGCUAUGAAAUCAGAGGAGAAGGAGCUUUACGACGCCGCAGCAGAAGGGAAUGCAACACUAUUUCAACAACUGCUCCUACAAGAUCCAUUUCUUCUCAAUAAAAUCUCAUUUUCAUGCACUCAAAAAUCUCCCCUACACAUAGCAACACUGCAAAGCAAUCUCAAUAUCGUAGAGCAAAUCUUGAGCAAUAAUCCUCAGCUAGCUGAGGAAUUAGACUCCCAAAAAUCGUCGCCUCUUCACAUCGCAGCAGCAAAAGGCUACGUAGAAAUCGCCUCAAUGUUGCUAUUGGAAGCCCCAAACAUGUGCUGGUCACGUGACAGCCGCGGCAUGAACCCUAUCCAUGUGGCAGCCAUGAAUGGGCGUGUUGAGGUGCUAGAGAAGCUCGUUGAGGAGGAUGGGUUUGCUGCUAUGGAGCGGUUGGAUCGCGGAGAGACGGUGCUGCAUUUGUGCGUGAAGCAUCGUCAACUUUGGGCGUUGAAGGCUUUGGUGGAGAAGUUGGGGGAGUUUGUGUGUGCAGAGGAUGAUGAUGGAGAGACAGUAUUGCAUUUGGCUGUUAGGUUCAGACAAGUUGAGGUAAGAACCAGGUCUUUUUGCAAGCUUCAUAUUUUUAUAUAGUGAUCAUAGGCAUAAGAGGCAUAGGUUACAUAAAAUAGUAAGACCAAGCCUUUUGCAAACUUUACAUAGCUAAUGAUUUGCAUAAGAGCUAUGUUGCACAGGUGCGAGGAGUGGGUGCGGGAGCGAUACGAUUCGGGUGCGGGGAUACGAAUUUUUAAAAAUUAUAGGGUGCGAUUCGUGAAGGAUACGUUUGUUAUAUUUAUAUAUAUUUUAUUAUAUGUGACCAAUCAAAUUGAAAAAAGAAAAGAACGUUCAUAAAUUAAAUAUUGCAUUGCAAAUAUAAGUCAAAGUAAAAGUUUCAAUAGUGAAGUUCUUCAAAAUUUGCAAAAGAGCCCAAAAAUAAUGAAAAAAAAAAAUUACAUUGCAAAUAUAAGUCAAAGUAAAAAUUUCAAUAAAUUGCAUGCAAAUAUAACUAAAAAAUUGCAAAAGAGCCCAAAAGUAAUUGAAAAAAUUGCAAAAAAAGCCCAAAACGCACCCUAUUCGUGGGUGCGUGCACCCGAUUCGCGAAUCCCUUUUUUUUGGGGAGGGGGGGGGGGAGAUUCGCCACGUAGUGAAUCCCGUGUGAAUCCCACACGAAUCGCACCCACACCCCGCACCAUGCGCGUAUCCGAUACUGCACUGUGCUAUUUUUUGAAGAAUCCGUGCAUCAUAGCAUAAGAGACAUAGGUUAGAUAAAAUGUCUGAAACGCUAAAUGUCUAUAUUCUUCAUGUCCACAAAUAUACAUAUAUAGGGGUAAUAAUCCAANAAAAAAAGGAAAAAAUAAAAAAUAAAAAUCGAAUCGAGCUAAACAUAUUUUGGUUAAAACGGUUUUGUUUAUUUGGUUUAUUUGAAUUUGGUCUAUUUGGCCUAAUUUCAAUCAAACUGUUUGUAAAAAUCGAAAUACUCCCUCCGUCCCCCAAACAUCUUCCCAAGGAGAAUGACAUAGGUUUUAAUAAAAGUUAGUUGUGUAUUAGAUGAGUGGGGAAUGGGUCGCACAAAAAGUAAAGAAUAGUGAGUGUUAUUAUUUGCAAAAGUAGGUUGACAAGAUGUUUUAGGGACGGACCAAAAUGAAAAGAGAAGAAGAUGUUUGAGGAAUGGAGGAAGUAUAUAAUUCAUAUGUAUCAGUUCAUCUCCAAACAAGUUUUUUUGGAUAAGUAAAAUCAAUUAACCACCACGAGGGGUGCAACCCAAAACAAUAACAAAGUUCAACAAAUAAAAAAAAACACAUAAAAAACCUACAAAUCAAAGAAAGUGUUGGAUUGCAAAUCUAAUCACUCAAAUUAUAACUAGAAAUGCAUAUCAAAGUACGUAAAUUUACUCCUAUUGUGUUUAAUUAUUGUGUGGCCUGGGAAAAACAUGCAAAUCAUCGCGGUAUUGGAAAUUAAACAAAAAGGGUGAUUUUGAUAGUUAGGUCAUAUAUAGAAAUAGUGUUUAAACAGUUAUAAUUGUAAAGCUUGUGGUGGACCCAUGUACAAAAAUAGAAAGCAAAGAGAUCGGUGCAAACUUUUUGGGGACACCUCAAAAAAGAAAUCAAUAAAUCUAUGCAAUCACAUUGUGGCCACCCACAAUUUAGUUUAAUAGGGGAAAUUUCAAUUUAUUUAAUUUAUUUUUUAAAAUAAAAAUAGGAUUUAGAUAUUUUAUUGUGUUCUCUACAUUAUAGUUAUUUUUUUGUAAUUUUUUUUGCAAUUUUUAUUUUUCAUUUAUUUUUAAUAAAAAAUAAAAAGUUACAAAAAAAUAACUAUAAUGUAGAGAAUAAAAUAAAAUAACUAAAUCUUAUUUUUAUUUUAAAAACUAAGUUACAUAAAUUAAUUUUUUUUUCUAUUUAAGUGAAUUGUGGGUGACCACAAUGUGGCUGCAUAGCAUCACUCAAAAGAAAUUGGGGUAAACUUUUUGAGGACGGAGGGAGUAUAAUAUAAUUGAUAAAAUAAUUCAGAUUAAUAAAAUAUUUUUAACUCAACCCAACACUCUAAUCAUUCAAUGAUUAAUUAUCACCUCAAAGUUAAGUUAGUUAUUUAAUCAUCAUCUAAUUCAUAUUGCCCAUAAUUAUGACUUAAUUUGGCUUGUCCUAAAUUUUCAGCGUUUUUGCAUGAUUAUACUCCUUUCGUCCCAUUAGUAAUGUCCAUCUACUUUUAGCCACGUAAAUUAAGAACAAUAAUUAGUUAGUAUAUACUGUGACUUGAUAGAAUGUAUUUAAAUAUUAUUUUAAAUGAGUUAGUGGGUUGAGUCCACUGUUAAUAAUAUUAUAAAUGAUUAAUUUUUUAUUGAAAAAGGUAUGAGACAUUAUUAGCUAGUGGAAUGUUCUAGUAAUUGAGAUAUAUAUUACUAAUGAGAUGGAUGAAGUAAAAACAAAAAAUCCUAAUUUUUCUAUCGUAACUCUAUAUAUAUAUAUUUUAAUCACGAUAUAUUUCAAUUUAUAUUCUACCCCACGAUCAGUAUUCAAACACAAAACUAAAUAGGGUUAAGUACCACUUUCCCCCAACUUCGACACCCCUAUCGCCUUUAACACCCUAACUUCAGGGUUGACGCUGUUUACUAUCUCAACGUGUCAAAAUGGAAGCAAAUCGCCCCCCGCGUUUUAGCGGCCGUCCAAAGCGCAACUCUAACGGGGUUAAGCACCAUUAAUUCGCGGGAGGCGAUUUGCUUCUGUUUUGACACGUUGAGAUAAUAAACAGCGCCAACCCUGACUUUAACCAUUAAUACAAUCAAAAACACCUAUCACACACUUCCGUUUACCUAUAUCUGCCCUCAAUGUGUUUUGGAUGGUACCUAACCUAACUACAAGAUUCAACUCGCGCGAUAACUUUUAAACUUAUCAUUAAAUUGACAGGUGAUUCGAUACUUGGUGGAGAGCACCAAAAUUGACAAGAAAUCAAAGAACUCCAAAGGGCAGACGCCAUUAAAACUCCUCAAGCAUAUCAUUUCCCACUCUGCAGGAUCCGACAAUACAACCACAAAAAUCAAAGAAAUUCUCAAAUCCCGAUCCACCAACCAUCCCUCCCAAACCCCACCGGUGGAGUGGCUCACCAAGAAGCGCGACUCCAUAAUGGUGGUGGCGAUCCUCAUCGCCACCAUGACCUUCCAGGCCGCCGUCAGCCCCGCCAGCGGUGUGUGGCAGGACGACACGCUGAUACGAUCACGAUCAAUAGUGGAGCAAUUCGAGUAGCUCAACUCCAGAAAUCAAGGGAGAAGAGAGAUAGAUUUGAUAAACAUCAACUCAAAUAUUCAUUCCAUAAGUAAUAACAUAGAGAUUACAAUAUUUAUAGCAUUGAUAAUGAUAACCUAAUGGGCUAUGGGCUAUGCAUAAGUGGGCUAAACUAAAGCUAGGGCUUCGUGUAUCAUUCCCCACUCCUUCACAAUCACCUUGUCCGCAAGGUGAACUGAUUGGAAAGCUUGAUACAUUUAUGCUCACCACGUGCUCGACAAAAGUUCCAGCAAACUAACUCCAGAACUGAUCGGCUGGAUACGCCUAACGGAUCCGGUGGUGGUUCACCAUCUAGCCGAACCUCUUGACUGGCGAAAACAACCAUAGACCGGUAAAAACUAGAGACGCCAGCGGCUAAAACUUUCGCAAUAGCAUCAAAUAUGGGUCCAACAACAUCGACCAGAAUCUCGUCCUUAGAACCGACGAGUAACCAAAAUCGACUGCCAAGAAUUGGCGGAGGACUCACCGAAGUAGUUAUCGAUGGUGGUGUUGGUGGUAUUGUGAGUGAAGGCGGUACAUCAGGGGGUGUCUGCAGCGGAGGUGGGAGAGCUAGCGGUGGCAGCGGCGGUGGUGGUGUCUGCAGCGGCGGUGGCAGCGGCGGUGGUGGUGUCUGCAGCGGCGGUGGCAGCGGCGGUGGUGGUGUCUGCAGCGGCGGUGGUGGCGAAGAGGAUGGAGACCAACACACAUCUGGAGCAGUAGCCGGAGGGAACUUGUUGGUGGCCGGAAAAUUUGCCUCGAAGGAGGAUUGCAGGCUGUAGAUGGAGAUUCGAAGCUUUUCAAGGGCGGCAAGAAUUUCUGAUCUGGACAUUUUUUUUUUUUUUUGAUAUUCAAAGAGAAAUUCUCUCAAUGAAAGCACCAAUUGAUACGAUCACGAUCAAUAGUGGAGCAAUUCGAGUAGCUCAACUCCAGAAAUCAAGGGAGAAGAGAGAUAGAUUUGAUAAACAUCAACUCAAAUAUUCAUUCCAUAAGUAAUAACAUAGAGAUUACAAUAUUUAUAGCAUUGAUAAUGAUAACCUAAUGGGCUAUGGGCUAUGCAUAAGUGGGCUAAACUAAAGCUAGGGCUUCGUGUAUCACACGCCGCAGCACAGGGCCGGGGAGGCCGUGAUGGCCUACAACAACCCUAAGAUUUACAAGAACUUCAUACGCUCCAACACGGUGGCGUUCGUGACGUCGCUCAGCACGAUAUUGCUAUUGAUCAGCGGUUUGCCAUUCAAGUACAGAUUCUUCAUGUGGGCUCUCAUGGCGAUAAUGUGGGUGUCGGUGACGGCCCUCGGCGUCACGUAUGGCUCUUCGAUCACGGUGGUGACUCCCAGAUUUGCUAGGCAGUCGCUCAGCCAGGUCAUCACGACUGGGAUCAGUGUUUGGAGCGGCGUGAUGGUGGUUUUGCUCGUCGGGAAUAUUCUCCGGCUGCUGCUCCGGUGGCUGAGGCACGGCGGAGUGGGAUUGUGGGCGUCGGAGACAUGUUUGGUGAAAUCUGUUCGAGUUUAGGAAUGAGACAGUUAAAAUAAUUGUUCUUUUCUUUGUGUUGUAUAUAUCAGAAUCUAUAUAAUAUACUCCCUCCGUACAUGAGUAAUGUUCCCCAUUUUUUUCGAUGCGGGUUUUAAGAAAAGUUAGAUGGGUGUGUUGUGAGUGGAGUUUGGAUCCCACAUUAAGUGCUCGUUUUGUUCAAUUAGAGGAAUAGAAAGAAAAUGAAGUCAAAUAAAGGAGUGAAAUAGUAACAAUAACUAUUAAUUUUAUUGAGUGUUUGAUUUAAUAAUGGAAAUAAAUCAUUAGUAAGGGAUUCUCUUUCUUUUGUUUCCUUCUAUUUUGACGGUAAUAAAUUGGGUGAUUGAGUUACCCUCAAGUAAGGGUAAUGGUUAACUCAUUUUCCAAACCAAACAACAAGUAAUAGAUUCAAUUAAUUGAAUCCAUUUCCAACCUCUAAAAACACUCAAUCAAACGUGGGCUAAAUAUGUUACUUAUAGAGUAGUGUUUAAAAAUAUGUGGUGAAAAAGUGGAGUUUGGAUCCCUCAUUAAUAAAUUAUAUGUUGUGAGUGAAGUUUGGGUUCCACAAUAAAUGUGUUAUUGUGAUAUGUGUGGUGGAAAAGUGAAGUUUUGUGACAUCUCUUAAUUUUUUUUAAGAUAAUUCCUCUUUGGAGUGACAAUGAGAAUCAAAUUUUAGGGAUAAUAUGUGUUUGUCUAGCGGUAGAGUGAUUAAUGUUUUAAGUCAAAGGUUUUGGGUUCCACUCUAAUGUGGCACAGUCUUUAAAUUUAUUUAUUUAAUUAUUAAUUUACAAAAAAAUUAAGGGAUAAUAUUAUCACUUCUUGAAGUGAAAUGAAUAAUAUAUAUUAUCACUUCUAGAAAUUCUCUUUUGUAGAAAAUGAGGAAAAAGAGUGGAGUACUCUUUUUUAUCCCUAAUUUACUUACGAUGAAAUUUAUAAUAAAUAAAAAGACAAAAUCUUAAAUAAAGUUUAUACUAAAACUCAAUCCUAUAUAAUUAUGCUUCCUAUUCCCAUUAAUUCAAGGUCAUGUAUAAGAAACUUUUGAUAAAUUAAUUAUGCUUCCUAUUCCCAUUAAUUAUGCACACAUGUAUAAGGAACUUGUACAUAAUCAAAUGGGUUGAUCAUCAAAUAAAUCACUAUAUUUAUUAUAUAAAUUACAUAAAUAAAUAAAUAAAUAUAAAAGUUGCAACACGAUGAACUCAAACCAAGGACUUUACCUACCGCUAGGCUAACAUACGCACACAUAAAAUCAUUAUUUUUUUUUUAUGAACUUACAAUAUUAAAUAAAGAAAAACAGGCCGCGCCACAAGGAACUCGUACCCAAUACCUUUGGCCUUGAACAUAUAACCCGUUACCGCUUGGCCAACACACGCACACUAAAAUCAUUAUUAUUGACAGGUCUUAGAGGUGUCAAACCGAUUAGGUGCGAUAGACCAUCUGGGCCUUGAACUAUCACUUUGCCCAAUGGGCAUGGGUUGGACCGGAACAAUAAUGACUUCAUGCAUGCCUUUCAAUUUGUAGCAAUUUCGACACACUCAAUUUUUCUGAGAAUUAGUAUUUGCAUCCCGUGCAAUGUACGAGAAAAUAUUUUUAAUUUUUAUAUUUAUAUAAAAUUAAUACUAAUUCAAUUAUUAUAUUUAUAAAUAUAAUUAAAAAUAAAUUUUAAUUGACUAUAUUUGAAUUGAAUAUUGAAAAAAUAAAAAAGAAUUCACAAUUAUAAAAUUUGAUAUUAUGUAAAACAAAAACAAAAAAAUAAGUUAAAAAAUAAAAAAUAAAAUACUACUAAUUAAAAAGAAUUAAAAAUAUAUUUAUUCAAAAAAGAUGAGAGAGGAGAGAGAAAUUUAUAAAACUUAAUAUUUAAACAAAUUUAAUUUUUACAUUUUAAAUCAAAUAUUUUCAUAAAAUAUAUCAUAUUAAAGCUCUUAUCGUGAUCUUUAAUUUGAUAUGCAUAUUAAAUAUUUUAUAAUUAAUCGAAUUUCACAAUUUUGGAAAGAAAUGUAACAACAAAUAAGAAGCUAAAUAAAAUGAAAAUAAAAAGGAAAAUAUAUAGCUAGUUUAAACAUAAAUCUUCAAUUUUAUUAUAACUACAAAAUUAUCACUCAAUUUUGAAAUUAAUUUGAAAUUGAUUUCAAAUUGGAAACUCCCCUUUUUAAUAUAGUAUAGAUUUAUCCCUAUAUAUCAAAGUCAUUUCAACGUUGAAAAAAUUGGAAUGUCGAAAUUGUUACUAAUUUUAAAGGUGACAUAUAAUUGCAAAAUGGACCAAAUGUGCAGUGAUAAUAUAUUUGACAACUAACCCUAAUUAAAUUUAGAGUAGUUAAUUUAGUUAAAUACUCCCUCCGUCCCACGAGUCUUGACACGUUUUCCUUUUUGGGCCGUCCCACGAAUCUUGACACGUUUCCUUUUUUGGCAAUAAUUAUUACUUUCUCUCUCCUACUUUAUCACCUUUAUUAUAUUCUCUCUCCUACUUUAUCACUUUUAUUACCUUCUCUCUCCUACUUUAUCAAUUUUAUACUUUAUUAAUUACACACUUAAAACACUAAUCUACAACUCCUUAAUUCCCGUGCCGAACCCAAACGUGUCAAGACUCGCGGGACGGAGGGAGUAUUGAAUUGAUAAAAAGAAAAUGGCGAAAAAGUAUAAAACAUGUUCGAUUAUGUAAGAAUUUGUCUGCCAAGUACACAUGUGGUUAAUUGAGACAUUUGACGUAAUUUCUACGUAUUCUUAAUUAUGAAAGUGGCCUGAUAGUUUAAUUUAACUUUCCACACCCUUUUAAAAACCACCACACCGUUGUAUUUUCUUUUCCAUUUUCUUUAAUUGAUAGAGAAUAUUUUUUUUUUUGAUGGAGAUAGAGAAGAAUUUUUAUUUGUUCUAGAUCUCAUGUUCAUGGCCGCCAGGCCUAGCUAGACAAUUCUGUUACGUAACUAGCUACUGUAUAUUUGAAUACAUUUUUUUUUAAACCCUAAUUGCCAUUCAGCAUAUUAUGAUUUUAAUCAUAUCCUCCCUCCGUCUAGCUGAUGUGUGCAUUUUAGUUACCUAGUUUAGUGUGUGUUUGCUAUAAUUUUAUGUGAUUUUACAUGGUUUGCAAUAUUUUGGAUGUAGGAAUUGAGCAAAAUGUGGAGAUGAUCUUGUGGAUGGAAGAAAUCGAAGGAAGUCUAGUUUUGCACGGACUUUGACGAAUUUAGUGGAAUUGAAGAUGUUUUGGAGAUUAAAACACGAAUAUGACUAUACAAAAUUUAUCAUUUUAUAUAGCUUAUGAUUCUGUGAAAUUUCAUGCUUGGACUGAGGUAUCGCCAAACGACUCUUUCUCCACUCACAAUAUAAUUAAUUAUCAUUAUUAACAUUAUAUUCUUCACUCACAAUACACUUAACUAUUUUUAUUAAAAUCCUUGUCGUCCUGAUCUUCUAGGACUAUUUGUUGUAGACGGAAAGAAUACCUCUUUCAUUUAUAUAUACAAUAUAAUUUCUUAUGAUAUACUCCCUCCGUCCCACGAGUCUUGACACGUUUUCCUUUUUGGGCCGUCCCACGAAUCUUGACACGUUUCCUUUUUUGGCAAUAAUUAUUACUUUCUCUCUCCUACUUUAUCACCUUUAUUAUAUUCUCUCUCCUACUUUAUCACUUUUAUUACCUUCUCUCUCCUACUUUAUCAAUUUUAUACUUUAUUAAUUACACACUUAAAACACUAAUCUACAACUCCUUAAUUCCCGUGCCGAACCCAAACGUGUCAAGACUCGCGGGACGGAGGGAGUAGUAUAUGAAUACUAUUUAUAAUAAGAUUUACUUUUAGCAUAUCUAGAUUCAAUGAAUAUGAUGUGAUGUUUGAGAAUUACAAUAGCACAUUAGAACUUUUCUUGGUCAAUUCUAAGUUCCUAAGAGAUGGUCUUUGUUUAAUAACAUUAAUUAAACAUUUCCAUGCUUGGCGGCUUUCUUGAGAGAGAGACUGAUAGAGAUUGUGUUAUAUAUAUAUAUAUAUAUAUAUAUAUAUAUAUAUACUAUAUAACAAGAGAAUCAAUAUAUGUAGGUAGUUAGGGAAGAAUGGUGAAAGAAGCAGCAGAAAAGAAACUCUACGAUGCUGCAUCAAAAGGGGAUUUAGAAACACUUAAACAACUGCUUCAAUUACAGAUCCAUAUCUUGCUCAUGAAGCCCCAUUUACCUUUUCAAGAAACCUACUACACAUAGCAAUCACGCAUGGACAAGUACGCAUCGUUGAAGAGUUGUUGAUGAUGAAUCCGCGGCUAGCUCGGAUCUUAGACUCCCAAAAACUGUCGCCUCUUCACAUCGCAGUAGAAGAAGGGAAGCUCGAGAUUGCCAAGAGAUUGUUAUCAGUAGCCCCAGAGACGUGCUGGUGGCGAGACGGCCAUGAUAUGAACCCGGUUCAUGUUGCAGCCAUGGAUGGGAAUGUCGAGAUCUUGGAGGAGCUGCUUCGACUCGAUUUGUAUCCUGCUAUGGAGAGAGUGCGUCGUGGGCAAACUGUGCUGCAUCUGUGUGUGAAGCAUCGUCAGCUUAGAGCAUUGAAUGUUUUGGUGGAGAAGUUGGGUGAGCUUGUUUGUGCAAAGGAUGAUGAUGGUGAGACAAUACUGCAUUUGGCUGUGAGGUGCAAUCAACUUGAGGUAACCACCAACCCUUUUUUGUUUGUUGUCUUAAUUUGUCAUUUCAAUUUCACCAUAUCUAUAUAUAAUAUAAAACACCAGCUUUCUUCCCGCCAAUUUAAUGGCAUUUUUGCAAUUAUAAUGUCAAUUAAGGAUAAAAGUUUAGAAAUUAAAAGAGAGUGGGGUGAGAGGAGAGAGAAAAGUAGAAAUCUGAGAUAAGUUACGCUUCAUCUACUAUCACUUUUUCCCACAUUUUCUCUCUCCUCAUUUUCUUAUACAUUCACCCAUUUUUUCUCAAUUCCAAAUUUUUAUCUCUUCUAACCUAUUUUUCAUAUUUAGAUGAUUUUCUAAAAAUCUUUAAAUUCAAUUUAUGAAAAUAUAUUCGACAUGUAUCUUAAAUUAAAUAUCAUGAUAAGAUUUUUAAUUUGAUAUAAAAAUCAUUAAAUGUGAAUUUGAAAUAAAUAAGUAUAAUUUAAAAUUUUAAAGUGAUUAUAUUUCUCUCUCCUCUUUCUUUUUCUAUAUUCUUUCAUUUUUGUCCUCUCUCUCCUUAUUCACUCCACGUUAUAUAUUAAUCUCUCUCCACAAAAUUUAUCAUGUUCUCUUCUCUUUUGAUAAAAAGAACAAAUAAAACAUCAAAUUUAUUCGUUGGAUUACUUUAUCAAACAUAACAUAAAAAUAUGUAAAUAAAAACUUUUAAUUAAAAAAUAUGAUGCACUAUUAUCAACAAACGUUGAGACGAUUUUAUAAAAAUAUUUAUUAAUUUUAAUUAUAUAGAAAAUAAUAAUCAAAUAUCAAAGAACUAUUUCAAAUUUGAGAUAGAGUAGAUAAUAUUUUGAACUAUAUAAAUUUUAAAGUUUUAAAAAAAAUAUCGAAAUUUGUUAAGUUUGUGUUAUGUAUAAUCUUUAAUAUACAAAUUUUGUGUUAUAUUCUCCUUUCUUUGAAUUUAUUUGAACCAUUUUAUUUUACUCUCUUUCUUUCUUCAGAUAUUUAUAAUAUUAGAAAAAUAGAAAAAUAUCAUUAUAAUAUUUUUUUUCUAAGAUUUGACAUAAAGUAUAUACAUCUUUAUAUAAUACUAUGAAAGAUGAGUUAUUUUAUUUUGUUUUCGUUUGAUGGUGAAAAAAUAAUUAAAUGUCUUUUUUUUUCUUGCAAAAAAACUUACAUGAUUGUUUGAUUAUAAUUAUUUUAAUUUAAUGCAAUCAAGGAGAAGGAAAUUUCAAUAUGAAUUUGUAAAAAAAAUAGUUAUUUAUCUUAAAUUUAGAAUUUAAAAUGUAAUAUAGAUUUAUUUAAUAAUAUGUACAAAUUAUUUAUUUGUUUGUAUAAACAUAUUUGUUGUUAUAUUUUGUUUUUAUAUUAUUCGUAUUUUUUCUAUUUUUGUAAUUAUUUUUGGGCUAUUUAAAUAUGAACUUUUAAUAAUAAUGCAGUUCGUACUUUUAAGAGCCCAAAAUUAUUAUAUGACGUCUAUUAAUAUUAUUAUUGAUAGUUUUAGUGUUAUUUGCUCAAAAUGAGAUUCACUUAAUGCUUUAUAAUCAGUAAAUUUAAUUAUUAUACAAUACUCAUCAAAUUUAAUACUUAUACUCCUACUCAUUAAGUUGAUAAAUUAUCAAAUACUAAUAUUUAAAUUAACAUAUUUUUUUUGUUAUUAAUUAAUUUAACUCAUAAAUAAUACUCCCUUCGUCCCACUCCAAUAGGCUCACUUCUUUUGGACACGGAGAUUAAGAAACUUACUUUUCAGGAGUAAGUGGCGUGGUUUACACCAAUUAAGUACAUUUUCUUUACUGAAAAUGAAAAACGAGCCUAUUGGAGUGAGACGUCUCAAAAAGAAAAACAAACCUACUAGAGUGGGACGGAGGGAGUAAUAUAUUUAUAUAAAUUAAAAUUUUAAAAAUAAAUAAAUAUAUCGUAGCCCGUGCAUCGCACGGGAGGAUGUACUAGUUUUAUCUAUAAUUCACGACUUAAAUGUUUCUUAGUCUUGAAAUGAUCAUAUUUUUUACCAUCAAUUCACAGUUAAUUACUAAGAAUCUUCUUUCAUGAAUUAAGGCUAAUUUUGGCAACUUAAGGUCAAAUAAGGGCAAAAUAACAUAUUAAUUAAGUCAAAACUUGCUUCUUUCUUUAUUUGUGGCUAUAUUUAUCUUUACAAUAUAAAAAUGACUAAUGCACGCAUACUUUUCAUGGUACUACUUUUCAUUGACUUAGAUUAUUAUUUUGGCUGAUACAUUGUAUUUUAGAUUUCUGUUGAGUAUUUUUUUUGGAUAAAAUUAUUGGAUAGAUCGAGAUGUGUUAAAUUACAAAUGUGCUUUUCUUUCUUCAAAUUUAUGGGGGCUACAAACUACAGUGAUAAAAUUAUAUAAAAUACUCAUUUAAUUUAGUAUUUUAUAGAAUCUUAAUUUAAGAGUUAUAGGGAUAAAGUAGUAAUUUUAUUAUUAUAUAUUUUUUUAUUCAAAUACUAUAUAUAAAGAGUAAAACGAAGAUUGGAGAAUAUGAAUAGAACUACCCAAUUUCUAUUGGGUCCGGUCCAGCCUUGUUUUCACCUUUGGCCCAAUGGGCUCAGCCCGCAACUUUAACAAUUAGCCAUUACAAGAAAAUCGGGCUAUAGAGAAAUCUCAAAAAUUUGUGGUUAAAAAGAAAUUGAAAUAAUGAAUUUAAAAUUUAAUUUAAUUUGGGACUAUAGAAUAUAGAGUAUAAUAGUAAAUUUCUAAUUAAUUAUUAUUAGUAUUUUGAGAAAAGGGGUUAUAAGGAGUAAAAAUGGGGGCUAUGAAUAGAAUCGCCCAUAAAAGAACACAAGUAAUAGUUUAUACGCAAAAAUAAUGCAUUUAUUAGUUAUUGUUUAAUGUCUAAGGUUAAAAGUCUCAUUUUCGAGUAGACCUAUAAAAUUAUUUGUUCAAUGAAAAAAAAAAUUACAGUUGUUAAUCGUAUGAAAAAUCACAGAUGGUAAGAUACUUGGUGCAAAGAACUAAACUAGACAAGGAGAUGACGAAUUCGACGGGGAAAACAGCGUUGGAUAUCUUGAAGGAGAGCCCUCGAGACCCAAUCAUCUAUCCAGAAAUCAGAAAGAUCUUGAAUAGUUUAUCAGAUCGUUCGAAAUUGCUGGGAAUCCUCCCCAAGAUGACCGACAUCACAAUGGUGGUGGUCGUCCUCAUCGCCACCAUGGCGUUCCAAUCCAUCCUCCAACCCCCCGGCGGCGUGUGGCAAGACGACACGUCAACGCACAAGGCCGGCGAAGCUGUGAUGGCAUACACACAUCCCAAGAUGUAUAAGCACUUCGUCAAUGCCAACACCACAGCCUUCGUUUCAUCUCUCAUCACAAUCAUGCUCAUCACCACCGGGCUGCCGCUGGAGCACUUCUUUUUCCUGGCGGUGGCCACGACGGCGAUGUGGCUGUCGCUGACGUCGCUCGCGGUGGGCUAUGGGGCUUCAGUGAUCAUGACCACUCCUAAUGAAGAGCAAACGCUAGGGUAUAUUGUGCCGGCGGUGGUGUGUGUGUUCCUCAGCUUCAUUUUGUUGCUAAUUCUCUACCACUCUAUCAACGGCUUGCAAUCCUCGUGGAAGAGAAAAUCUCGUUAUGAGUACAAACGUAUGCAACAUCUUAUUGGAGUGUAGAUGCAGAUGAACUAGUAAACCCACUCGUGCGAUGAGGGGUGGAGUUAGAUUUUGGAUUUAGGGGGUCCAAUUUUUUUAAUAAAAAUAAUAAUUAAAUAAAAAUAAACAAUUAAAUAAGAUAAAUAAUACUAAUCAUUAAUACAAUCAUAAUGUCAUUUUAAUUACAUAACAAGUCAAAAAUAUAAAAUAAACAAUUUAUUUCAAAAAUCACAACGUUUCUCUCCUAUUUUUCAUGUUCUGAAACCUCGCAUAAUAACUUCAUUAGUAACAUGACACAUCUUUUUCGAUGUAAGGUACUCCAUACAAUUACUAAGCAAUCAUUCAAAAGAUUGUCUUCCAUACAAUUGUGAAGAACACUCUUGAUGAUCUUCGGCUCUUUUAACUGUAGCAGGGACAACUGGAAAAGUCAGUGAUAACUUAACUAACAAAUACAUCAAUGGAAAAAUUGUCAUGUUUCCUUUGUAGAAACCAUCUUCUCGGAAAGAUCUCCAAUCCCGGAUAGUUUUAAGAAUUUUUCAUCCAGGCGCACAUCAACAAUAAUGUUCUCAAAGCUAUAAAAUCAAUUAUGUAUUGAUUUCAUCAAAAUAUUGAUUCAAAUCCAAAAAAUGGGUCUCUAUGAAAUUACUAAAAUACCCCUACGAAAAUUACCAAAUUUCAGGGGUCUCCCUGCAUGCGAUGCACGACCAAUAUUAAAAUCAAGUGUUAUUUUUCGUACAGAAAUAUAAAUAUUAAAUAUAAUUUAUAAAUCAAAUCAUCAAUAAAUUCAACAAAAAGAAAAAUAAAUACACAAUAUUAUAAAUAUAAUUUUAGAUAUUAGUUGAAUUAUUUAAAUGAUUAAUUUUUAAUUAAAAUUUGCAACCCACAUUCCUAGUCAAUAAUUACAAAAACACGUACAAACACUUGUGUCGGUUAAGAAUAUAUAACACUAAUGUCUUCUUGGUGUAUAGCCAGGGCGGAGCUAGGGGGGGGGUAGGGGGAGUCACUGGGCCCCCCCUGGGAUUUUAAAAAAUAGUAGGUAUAUUUUCAUAAUUUUAAUAUUAAAAAAAAUAUGAUUUUAUCUUCUUACAGUUUUUGUGAGGUCUAAAUGACGUUGUUUCGUACAAUUUAAUUAAAAAAUUCUUUAAAUAAGUAAGGGAUGUAUCCUGUAUUUGCACCAUAAUUUUCAAUAUUUAGUAAUUUUAUUGCAAAUUAUUUUCGUAACAUGAAUAUUACGUGGAUAAUUAAUCCACAAAAAUUCCAAGUCAACAAUCCGACGAUCAGAAAAAAUUGUGAGGGACAAAAUGGCAAAAAUUGAAAAGAUGGUAAUUUAAUUCGUCACAUUUUAAAAGUCACAUUAAAAUUGUUAAUUCGGCAUGAUUUUAUUUGCCAAAAUCCCAAGUUUUAUCCAUCUUGAUUUUUUGAAGUUAUUUUGUAUGAACGAAAUGUAUUUUUGUAAUUUAAAAGAUAUUUAUAAUUGUGUUAAUGAUUAUUAUUUAGUUUUAAUUUAUUUAUUAUUUUUAAAAUUUAAUUUAUUUUUUAAAAUUAAUUAUUAUUUUUAUUUAAAAAAAUUGAACCCCCUGGAACGAAAGUCUGGCUCUGCCCCUGUGUAUAGCUAGUGAGAAUCAAAUUGUUGGCAUCAACAAAAAAAGUGAUGCAUUGUGGCAAUGCAUCUUAGAUUUGUAUCAACAAGUGCGAGCUACCAAUUCACGAUUGGGCGAAGAAAGAUCAGAGACAUGAUAAUGUACACUCAUUUUUCUAUGAUUUUUAAUGUUUUUAGGAUAUCUUUGGUGAAAUUUACAUAACUAUUGAAGCCGAAUUAGAAAACAUGAUCUGAAUGAGAGUUGUUGAUGAUCUCAAUAUGAGUUUGUGGAAGCAAACAGAAUGUGAAUCGAUGAUCAAACAAGAGAGAUAUGACCAAAACAAGAAAGUCGCGCGCAAAAGUGAAUUGUGUCGCUGAGAACAAGAGAAAUUUUGCAUUUUCCUCGGCGACCUGCUGGAUCGGUCGCUGAGGUGUCCACUUUUCAUUUAGUAAUACUUCUUAAGGUAGCAAUUUUCACCACUAUUUAGUUGAAAAUCGAAUUUGUGUUAAAAAUAAUACUACGAUCAAUAAGUCAAUGUGUAAAAUUUGUCCAAAGUGUAUUUAUGGGCAAUAACCCUAUCAAUAACAUGAACAACCCUGUUUAAAAAAAACAACAAGACCUUCAACUGAAAAUAACAACACUGACAGAUCAAGAAGAAAUCAUUUGAUGGCCUUGGAAAUAGCUAAGCUAAUAUCCAAGCUACCAAGACGUAUGGCAAUCCUCCAACGAUUAGACAUCGGCACCGGUUGAAGGAUUGGUUCUAGGAUGCUCUGGUAGUUGUGGUAUGAUCUUCAGCGAUGAGUAGAAUUUCCUUCCAUUAUACCUAUCAGCACCAUCACCACCAUCACCACCAUUGUCUGAUCGUGUAUUCUUCUGCGGAGGUCGAGUGUUAAUUUGUCUGACAUUUUGUCAGGAUAUCCCAAUCUGAUUCAUCGGUCAGGAUUUUUUCUAUUUCUGGAUGACUCUCUUGCUCAUGGAUCUCCUUGAAGAUUUGCAGUGGUGUUUUGCCCAUCGAGUUCUUUGAUUCCGUCCCUAUUAUUUUGUUCUCCGCCAAGCAUCGUAUGAUCUGAGAUUUUCUUGGGAGAUGCAUAAUAUUAUAAGUAAAUUUUCUACAUUAACAAAAUAGAAACAAUAUACUCGGGUGGCCAUUUUGAGGAAGGAAACACAAAAUUUGGCAACUAAUUAAAAAAAUACAAAAUUUGGCCAUUUUUUAUGUUUUAGGACUAUUUUGCCCUUAAUUAGGGCAGACCGGAUUCAGGUUUGCGCGGGUUAGGCACUAUUGGUGCCAUAUGUGCCAACUGAAAAAAAAAUCUAAGUAAAUUGGUACACUUAGCACUAUUAGUGCCAAUAAGGCCAUGCACGAAUGGUACUAGUGACCAUAUUAGUGUCAUUAGUGCCAUUUAGUUAUGGUGAUACAUUGUCUUGUCUUAUAUAGAUGAGUNAAUGGGGUCUUUUAUGAUAAUAAGGAAAAGAUGGAGGGUUUGGUGUGAAAACACCAAACCCUAUACCUGCUUUUAAUUCUCCCCAAUUUCCUCCAGCCGCCUCCCCCUUAAUUCCCGAUACUCCAUUCUGCCCAGCGUCAAGAGCCCCGAGUUGAUAUCCGACCCGAGAUCCGGCUGCGCCAGCACCCGAUCCGCGAUCAUCUCCACCGUCACGUUCAUCCUCGCCGUGCGCCGCGCCCGCGCCCUCCCCGCGGGGCCGCGCGCCUUGCCGACCGCCGCGCCGCGGUAGAACAGCGCCGACGUCGUCUCCGGGUACCGGAAUGACGCGAAGUUGGGGUUCUUCACCGACACGUCGGCGGUCAGCGACAUGUUGCUGCCUGGCCGUGGCGUGGCGAUGCCGUUGAUCAGAUCCGCGCCGCAGCAGCUGCAGCAGCGGAGGAGUUGCCGCUGCUGUUUGACGGUGAAUUUGAUAUCUCGGAGAGUUCGAUGAAGAGCUGCCUGAGCGGUUUGGCUGACCUCUGCCGGUGGUGGUCGGCUGAAAGCCGUCUUCCGGCCGUGGCGUAUGGCAGUGGACGGUGGCAAUCCCGGCCCCGAUGGCUCCCGAUGAUGAAGGGUCCGGGUUGGUUGCCGGCUGUAGCCGGGCGGCCUCCCAUCUCACUCUUGAGAAUGCCGACUCGGCUGAGGGAACUUCCUUGAGAAUGUCCCGACGAAGUCUGUCAUAUCUCCUAUCAAAUCCGGAGAGGAACUGAAAUAAUCGGUGAUUUCCGAUCAGUUUUCUGUGCUUAUUGAUCCCUUCUUCACACCAGUCGAGUGGAUUUGGGUAAGUUCGAUCCAUUCUGUGGAUUUGUUGAAUUGAUUCAUUUGAAUCUGUUUGGUUUAUGGCUUCAAUCUCUCCUGGCAUUUUUUUUUCAGGAAAUGAAGAACAGAGGUUUUGGUUUGGUGUAUUGGUUAGGAAUGGUUUGGUGUAUUGGCUAGGAAUGGUUUUGGUUUUGGAUUAUGAACGAUGAUGAUUCGUUUCUGAGUUCCUAUGGUUGAACCUGCUGAACCUGCUCUGAGACCAUGUUAAAA